CUUCCCUACGGGAGGCAGCAGUAGGGAAUCUUCCACAAUGGGCGAAACCCUGAUGCAGCAACGCCGCGUGAGUGAAGAAGGUUUUCGGAUUGUAAAGUUCUGUUAGCAGGGAAGAGGAAGGACGGUACCUGCAGAGGAAGCCACGGCUAACUACGUGCCAGCAGCCGCGGUAAUACGUAGGUGGCAAGCGUUGUUCGGAAUAACUGGGCGUAAAGGAUGCGUAGGCGGUUAAACAAGUUAUAUGUUAAAUAUAUAGGCUUAACCUGUAGAAAGCAUAUAAAACUGUUUAACUAGAG
rnacentral:rRNA from 1 species